CCCUUAGAUGUUCUGGGCUGCACGCGCGCUACACUGAUGCGUUCAACGAGUGUAUCACCUUGCCCGAUAGGGUUGGGUAAUCUUUUGAACACGCAUCGUGAUGGGGAUAGAUUAUUGCAAUUAUUAAUCUUCAACGAGGAAUUCCUAGUAAUGAUGGAUCAUCAGUUCAUCGUGAUUACGUCCCUGCCCUUUGUACACACCGCCCGUCGCUCCUACCGAUGAGCAAUCCGGUGAAUAAUUCGGACUGCAGCAGUGUUCAGUUCCUGAACGUUGCAGCGGAAAGUUUAGUGAACCUUAUCACUUAGAGGAAGGAGAAGUCGUAACA
rnacentral:rRNA from 1 species